rnacentral:rRNA from 1 species
AGAGUUUGAUCCUGGCUCAGAAUCAACGCUGGCGGCGUGCCUAACACAUGCAAGUCGAGCGAGAAAGGGGCUUCGGCCCUGAGUAAAGCGGCGCACGGGUGAGUAACACGUGGGUAAUCUGCCCUCGAGUGGGGAAUAACACCGGGAAACCGGUGCUAAUACCGCAUACGAUCACGGUGUCUUCGGAUGUUGUGAUGAAAGGAGCAAUUCGCUCUUGGAGGAGCCCGCGGCUGAUUAGCUAGUUGGUGAGGUAAUGGCUCACCAAGGCUACGAUCAGUAGCCGGUCUGAGAGGACGGUCGGCCACACUGGAACUGAGACACGGUCCAGACUCCUACGGGAGGCAGCAGUGGGGAAUUUUUCGCAAUGGGGGCAACCCUGACGAAGCAACGCCGCGUGGGUGAUGAAGUAUCUCGGUACGUAAAACCCUUUCGACGGGGAAGAAAACCGCAAGGUUUGACGGUACCCGUAGAAGAAGCCCCGGCUAACUCCGUGCCAGCAGCCGCGGUAAUACGGGGGGGGCAAGCGUUGUUCGGAAUUACUGGGCGUAAAGGACGCGUAGGCGGUUUGUUAAGUUGAAUGUGAAAACUCUGGGCUUAACCCAGAGCCUGCAUUCAAUACUGGCAGGCUAGAGUUCUGGAGGGGAUAGCGGAAUUCCUGGUGUAGCGGUGAAAUGCGUAGAUAUCAGGAGGAACACCGGUGGCGAAGGCGGCUAUCUGGACAGAGUCUGACGCUGAGGCGCGAAAGCUAGGGGAGCAACAGGAUUAGAUACCCNNGUAGUCC